rnacentral:rRNA from 1 species
AUGGCUGUCGUCAGCUCGUGUCGUGAGAUGUUGGUUAAGUCCCGCAACGAGCGCAACCCUUGCCAUCAGUUGCUACGAAAGGGCACUCUGAUGGGACUGCCGGUGACAAACCGGAGGAAGGUGGGGGAUGACGUCAAGUCCUCAUGGCCCUUAUAGGUGGGGCUACACACGUCAUACAAUGGCCGGUACAAAGGGCAGCAAACCCGCGAGGGGGAGCCAAUCCAUCAAAGCCGGUCGUAGUCCGGAUCGCAGUCUGCAACUCGACUGCGUGAAGUCGGAAUCGCUAGUAAUCGUGGAUCAGCAUGUCACGGUGAAUACGUUCCCGGGUCUU